AUUGAACGCUGGCGGCAUGCUUUACACAUGCAAGUCGAACGGCAGCAUGACCAAGCUUGCUUGGUUGAUGGCGAGUGGCGAACGGGUGAGUAAUACAUCGGAAUGUACCGCUUAGUGGGGGACAAGUCUCCGAAAUGGCAGCUAAUACCGCAUACGAGCUAAGGUUGAAAGCAGGGGACCCUCGGGCCUUGCGCUAAACGAGCAACCGAUGGAAGAUUAGCGAGUUGGUGGGGUAAAGGCUCACCAAGGCGAAGAUCCUUAGCGGGUCUGAGAGGACGAUCCGCCACGCUGGAACUGUGACACGGUCCAGACUCCUACUGGAGGCAGCAGUGGUGAAUUGUGGACAAGGGGGGCAACCCUGAUCCAGCAAUGCCGCGUGAGUGAAGAAGGCCUUCGGGUUGUAAAGCUCUUUUGUUAGGGAAGAAAAGGUCUGUGCUAAUAUCCUAGACUGAUGACGGUACCUAAAGAAUAAGCACCGGCUAACUACGUGCCAGCAGCCGCCGCAGUAA
rnacentral:rRNA from 1 species